UUAUCGGAGAGUUUGAUCCUGGCUCAGGACGAACGCUGGCGGCGUGCCUAAUACAUGCAAGUCGAGCGGACAGAUGGGAGCUUGCUCCCUGAUGUUAGCGGCGGACGGGUGAGUAACACGUGGGCAACCUGCCUGUAAGACUGGGAUAACUCCGGGAAACCGGGGCUAAUACCGGAUGCUUGUUUGAACCGCAUGGUUCAGACAUAAAAGGUGGCUUCGGCUACCACUUACAGAUGGACCCGCGGCGCAUUAGCUAGUUGGUGAGGUAACGGCUCACCAAGGCGACGAUGCGUAGCCGACCUGAGAGGGUGAUCGGCCACACUGGGACUGAGACACGGCCCAGACUCCUACGGGAGGCAGCAGUAGGGAAUCUUCCGCAAUGGACGAAAGUCUGACGGAGCAACGCCGCGUGAGUGAUGAAGGUUUUCGGAUCGUAAAGCUCUGUUGUUAGGGAAGAACAAGUGCCGUUCAAAUAGGGCGGCACCUUGACGGUACCUAACCAGAAAGCCACGGCUAACUACGUGCCAGCAGCCGCGGUAAUACGUAGGUGGCAAGCGUUGUCCGGAAUUAUUGGGCGUAAAGGGCUCGCAGGCGGUUUCUUAAGUCUGAUGUGAAAGCCCCCGGCUCAACCGGGGAGGGUCAUUGGAAACUGGGGAACUUGAGUGCAGAAGAGGAGAGUGGAAUUCCACGUGUAGCGGUGAAAUGCGUAGAGAUGUGGAGGAACACCAGUGGCGAAGGCGACUCUCUGGUCUGUAACUGACGCUGAGGAGCGAAAGCGUGGGGAGCGAACAGGAUUAGAUACCCUGGUAGUCCACGCCGUAAACGAUGAGUGCUAAGUGUUAGGGGGUUUCCGCCCCUUAGUGCUGCAGCUAACGCAUUAAGCACUCCGCCUGGGGAGUACGGUCGCAAGACUGAAACUCAAAGGAAUUGACGGGGGCCCGCACAAGCGGUGGAGCAUGUGGUUUAAUUCGAAGCAACGCGAAGAACCUUACCAGGUCUUGACAUCCUCUGACAAUCCUAGAGAUAGGACGUCCCCUUCGGGGGCAGAGUGACAGGUGGUGCAUGGUUGUCGUCAGCUCGUGUCGUGAGAUGUUGGGUUAAGUCCCGCAACGAGCGCAACCCUUGAUCUUAGUUGCCAGCAUUCAGUUGGGCACUCUAAGGUGACUGCCGGUGACAAACCGGAGGAAGGUGGGGAUGACGUCAAAUCAUCAUGCCCCUUAUGACCUGGGCUACACACGUGCUACAAUGGGCAGAACAAAGGGCAGCGAAACCGCGAGGUUAAGCCAAUCCCACAAAUCUGUUCUCAGUUCGGAUCGCAGUCUGCAACUCGACUGCGUGAAGCUGGAAUCGCUAGUAAUCGCGGAUCAGCAUGCCGCGGUGAAUACGUUCCCGGGCCUUGUACACACCGCCCGUCACACCACGAGAGUUUGUAACACCCGAAGUCGGUGAGGUAACCUUUUUGGAGCCAGCCGCCGAAGGUGGGACAGAUGAUUGGGGUGAAGUCGUAACAAGGUAGCCGUAUCGGAAGGUGCGGCUGGAUCACCUCCUUU
rnacentral:rRNA from 1 species